AUUGAACGCUGGCGGCAUGAUUUACACAUGCAAGUCGAACGGUAACAGGCCGCAAGGUGCUGACGAGUGGCGAACGGGUGAGUAAUGCAUCGGAACGUGCCCAGUCGUGGGGGAUAACUACUCGAAAGAGUAGCUAAUACCGCAUACGAUCUAUGGAUGAAGGCGGGGGACCGUAAGGCCUCGUGCGAUUGGAGCGGCCGAUGUCAGAUUAGGUAGUUGGUGGGGUAAAGGCUCACCAAGCCAACGAUCUGUAGCUGGUCUGAGAGGACGACCAGCCUCACUGGGACUGAGACACGGCCCAGACUCCUACGGGAGGCAGCAGUGGGGAAUUUUGGACAAUGGGCGCAAGCCUGAUCCAGCAAUGCCGCGUGCAGGAAGAAGGCCUUCGGGUUGUAAACUGCUUUUGUACGGAACGAAACGGCUCUGGUUAAUACCCGGGGCUAAUGACGGUACCGUAAGAAUAAGCACCGGCUAACUACGUG
rnacentral:rRNA from 1 species